rnacentral:rRNA from 1 species
CCUACGGGGGGCAGCAGUGAGGAAUAUUGGUCAAUGGGCGGAAGCCUGAACCAGCCAAGUAGCGUGCAGGAUGACGGCCCUAUGGGUUGUAAACUGCUUUUGUAUGGGGAUAAAGUCAGGGACGUGUCCCUAUUUGCAGGUACCAUACGAAUAAGGACCGGCUAAUUCCGUGCCAGCAGCCGCGGUAAUACGGAAGGUCCAGGCGUUAUCCGGAUUUAUUGGGUUUAAAGGGAGCGUAGGCUGGAGAUUAAGUGUGUUGUGAAAUGUAGACGCUCAACGUCUGACUUGCAGCGCAUACUGGUUUCCUUGAGUACGCACAACGUUGGCGGAAUUCGUCGUGUAGCGGUGAAAUGCUUAGAUAUGACGAAGAACUCCGAUUGCGAAGGCAGCUGACGGGAGCGCAACUGACGCUUAAGCUCGAAGGUGCGGGUAUCGAACAGGAUUAGAUACCCUUGUAGUC